rnacentral:rRNA from 1 species
CCUACGGGUGGCAGCAGUGAGGAAUAUUGGUCAAUGGGCGCGAGCCUGAACCAGCCAAGUCGCGUGAGGGAAGACGGUCCUAUGGAUUGUAAACCUCUUUUGUCGGGGAGCAAAAGACGCCACUCGUGGCGUUCCGAGAGUACCCGAAGAAAAAGCAUCGGCUAACUCCGUGCCAGCAGCCGCGGUAAUACGGAGGAUGCGAUCGUUAUCCGGAUUUAUUGGGUUUAAAGGGUGCGCAGGCGGAAGAGCAAGUCAGCGGUAAAAUUGAGAGGCUCAACCUCUUCGAGCCGUUGAAACUGGUUGUCUUGAGUGGGCGAGAAGUAUGCGGAAUGCGUGGUGUAGCGGUGAAAUGCAUAGAUAUCACGCAGAACUCCGAUUGCGAAGGCAGCAUACCGGCGCUCAACUGACGCUCAUGCACGAAAGUGUGGGUAUCGAACAGGAUUAGAUACCCUAGUAGUC